rnacentral:rRNA from 1 species
AUGAACGCUGGCGGCGUGCCUCAUCCCUGCAAGUCGAGCGAACAGACGAGGAGCUUGCUCCUUUGACGUUAGCGGCGGACGGGUGAGUAACACGUAGGUAACCUACCUAUAAGACUGGGAUAACUUCGGGAAACCGGAGCUAAUACCGGAUAAUAUUUCGAACCGCAUGGUUCGAUAGUGAAAGAUGGCUUUGCUAUCACUUAUAGAUGGACCUGCGCCGUAUUAGCUAGUUGGUAAGGUAACGGCUUACCAAGGCAACGAUACGUAGCCGACCUGAGAGGGUGAUCGGCCACACUGGAACUGAGACACGGUCCAGACUCCUACGGGAGGCAGCAGUAGGGAAUCUUCCGCAAUGGGCGAAAGCCUGACGGAGCAACGCCGCGUGAGUGAUGAAGGUCUUCAGAUCGUAAAACUCUGUUAUUAGGGAAGAACAAACGUGUAAGUAACUGUGCACGUCUUGACGGUACCUAAUCAGAAAGCCACGGCUAACUACGUG